UACGAGGGGGGGCGAGCGUUGUUCGGAAUUAUUGGGCGGUAAAGGGUAGGCGUAGGCGGUUUUGGUAAGUCUGAUGUGAAAUCUAUGGGCUCAACUCAUAGUCUGCAUCGGAAACUGCCGGGCUUGAGUAUGGGAGAGGUGAGUGGAAUUCCUGGUGUAGCGGUGAAAUGCGUAGAUAUCAGGAGGAACACCUGUGGCGAAAGCGGCUCACUGGACCAUAACUGACGCUGAUGCACGAAAGCUAGGGGAGCAAACAGG
rnacentral:rRNA from 1 species